GACGAACGCUGGCGGCGUGCUUAACACAUGCAAGUCGAACGGAGUGGCGAACGGGCGAGUAACACGUGGGUGACCUGCCCUGCAUUUCGGGAUAAGCCUGGGAAACUGGGUCUAAUACCGGAUAGUGUGGGAUGGGCCCGCGGCCUAUCAGCUUGUUGGUGGGGUAAUGGCUUACCAAGGUGGCGACGGGUAGCCGGCCUGGGAGGGUGGACGGCCACAUUGGGCCUGAGGCGCGGCCCGGGCUCCUACGGGAGGCAGCGGUGGGGAUUAUAGCGCACUGGGCGGAGUCCUGAUGCAGCGACGCCGCGUGGGGAAUGACGGCCUUCGGGUUGUAAACUCCUUUCACCAUCGACGCGGUAGAUGGAGAGGAAGCACCGGCUAACUACGUGCCAGCAGCCGCGGUAAUAC
rnacentral:rRNA from 1 species